AAAGCAAGCGAAUAAAUAUCGACAGAAAAGAGGACGCAUUAUUCUAUUUCUAGAGCGUGCAGACUUUAUUUUAUCUAUGUGUGCAGAUCCAUUUACUGAUGUUGAAAAAUUCCCGAUACUCAAAGGAGAAGAAAGAGUUACGUAGGGAAAUACAAGAAAAAUAUAAACUCGGUACAUUGGUCAAAUCAUCAAAUGGAGAAGUACCUAAAUAGAUUACUACACGCAAAAAUCAAUAAGCGAAAGCUUUGUACCUGCGAAAGUAUCUGCAACACCAAACACAGAACACCCUCUUGGGAAGAUAAAACACCAGGCAAUCAUAGUUAGGACGGAACACCUACAAUGACACUCUUUUCAGGUAUGACGCCUAGUCUAACACCUAGUAUGACCCUACAUGCAACAACAACAAGCUUGCCGCUUAUCUUGAUAAGUUUAUAAAGUUUCUUAAAACUGUUUUAUUAGUGAAGCUGCUUACAUCUGUGUAAAUGUUGUUAUGA